rnacentral:lncRNA from 1 species
UUCCAUGAUCUUCACAGGAGCUCUCUACAGUCAGCAAAGCAUCCAGUUCAUAUGCAGGAGCCAACUCAAGGUUCUUGCACUCAACAAAGCAUUUCUUCCUUGACUCUUACAGAUUCUGGAAGUGCCUUCUAUAGAAUGAAUGGCUUUUCAUAAUGGGAGAAAAUCCAUGGAAAAGUUUUACAAGACCUUACUAAAAUUGCAGAUUAAGACUCAUCAGUAGUGUUAACAGAAAGUGAAUAUCUUCUUGAAUUAAGGACACAAAUCUGACAGAAUAGAUUGAAUUAAUACAGCAUACAAUACAGAUGCAUUGUCUAGUAGUUUAAAUGCCAUGAAAAACUUGGAAAGUUUCUCUUAAAUUUUAUGUUCUAUUUUGAACUUGUGUGAUUCAUUUAUGUUAUGUUUAAUAUUCUUCAGGGAAACCACUCUGAUUUAGAUCAGCUGAAGGUGUGAUCCACCAUGUAUUAUAAAGAGAAAAGCAGGAAUACAUUUAAAGGAAUCUAGCAGAAGUUUUCAAGUUCUCUUGGAGGUUUGAGUACUACCCAUCUGUAGUCCAUAUACACCUAAUGUGUGAUGUUACCACACAAACUCAAAAACUCUUUGAACGUUUAUCAUAAUUGUAACUGUUUUUAAUGGACCAGAAUAUCCAUGCUGCCUAAGCAGUGCAGAACCUUAGACUGUGAUUAGCUGUUUACUGCUUGUGCCUUUCUUCUGCUGAACCUAAAGGUGAUCUGCAUUUUUUUUCUUCUUACAGUUUCUCCUAAGCAUUUGAACUGCAUUCUGUCUGUACAGCUUUAGCUGCCUGAAGGAUUGCCCGUUCAGUUGCCUGAUGCUGGAACACUGUGAAAAAGGAAUAAAGAAAAGCACAUCAGUGCUGUCAAAAUUCAGAACUCUCCUGCAGCAGCAGACUUUCUUGAUAAUGGGACAGUCAAUAAAUAUUGCAAGAGCCGAAAGUCAGCUUGCAAAUUGCAGUGUGAAUGACACAUAG